GUGUUAUCAAGAAAGGUAGAGGGACUAGACCCAAUGAAACCUUGGCAACCCUUGCCCUGAAGCAUUUUGGGGUCUUACAAUCUUAACAUAGAAAGAUUUAAAAGAUUUUGAAACAAGUUCAAGGUAACGAAGGUGCUACAUUCUACUGCGUUUUCCAGUUUUUUGGAAAGUAUCAGACAGAUAACGA
rnacentral:ncRNA from 1 species